GCAAAAGGUGCAGAGAGUUCAAGUCCUUACUCCAGAAUGGGUCACCUAAAAACGUCACAUGUAAAACACAACAUCCAGCCUACCACCUGCCCUCGCAGGCUCUCCCUCUGCUGUUGGUGUAUCCAUUUAAAAUAAGAAUAUAGGGGAUUUUGCUUUAAUGGGAAAAGUCUUCCUCCCUGUUACCUUUUGGUGUCAGUAAUAGCACUGAGAAAUCUGACUGCAUAUGGUUAGUGUUUGCUUGCAUUUGUCAUGUGUUAUAGAAUUAGAUUUUUUAAACUAUUAUUUUUGCACAGCCUUUUAUUCAGUUGUGGGGGGACACUAUGCAGAUCUAUAUACCAAGCUAUAGGAGCAUGGUCUGAAAUGCCUACUAAAUCCUUUGCUGGAUGAACCGCUCUCAACCACCCCAUCCGCUUUGCCUGUGAAGCCAUUGAAAACAAAAGAGGCUGACAACAGGGGAAGCCCCAACUUCGACAAUGAAAAUAUGUCAGCAUGAAAAUGGUUAAUGAUUCCAUUUUAAAUCAAAAUGUUCUCCAUGACUGACUGCUUUGCAGCACUAGGCUAGGAUGGAGGAAUGAGUCUUCCUCUAACGACACAGCCUGGUGCAUGCGCGGUCCUCAAGCAUUCCCAGACCGACGGCACGGCAGCCACUGGGCCUGCAGCACGCAGCCCCACAAAUUAAAUUCAUGACUCUCACAUCGGGCCAAAAACGCAACAGGAGAAGUCUAUGAGAAAUUAGGAAAUCUUUUUGACAUCGGGAAAUCCGACACUUGCCUGCUCUAACAUCUAAAGUAACCUGUGUAUCUCCAAGGCAGUACUGGGGUUGUUUCCUGAGGAAGCCUAUAGGUAAAGAGAUAUUCACACAUUCACACGGGAGGAUUCAUAAAGGCAGGACGAGAAUAUAAAGGUAUUAUUUUGACACGACAAGCUGUGCUUGGAAAAUGUCUUCGACUCAUCCAAAGUUGUUGCCACUUUUGCUGCCUUUGCUUUGGAGAAGUCAAGUAAUUCUCUGGCCCCUUUGAAAUAUGUCUCAUCUGCACCGAAUUUCUGCCAACAAACCAACCCAUAGAUACGGAUAACAAAGAGCUUUAUUCAUACACAGACCUCUGGGAUCCCAGGAAGAAAAUCACCCACAAACUGUGGGCAGAGGUACGAAAGGGUCAAUCACAAGAAGUGGCAAAAAUACAAGUGACAGUUUUUCCUCCUGGCCAAGGUAAACACCAUCUUUUCUUUCUUUGUAAGAUGAGAAAAAUUAAAAGGAAAGCCAUAAGUUACAUGAUAGUCUUUCGGGAUAGGCUCUCAUGCAAAGUACAUACAGUUCAACAGUACCAAUAAAAUGUUUGGUUUUG